GCUCUGCUGGCGUAAUGGCAACGCGUUUGACUUCUAAUCAAGAGAUUCUGGGUUCGACCCCCAGGUGGAGUG
rfam:Hanseniaspora uvarum DSM 2768 Contig_151, whole genome shotgun sequence.